CAGGUACUCCCUCCGUCCGGAAAUACUUGUCAUCAAAAUGAAUAAAAGGAGAUGUAUCUAGAUGUAUUUUAGUUCAAAAUACAUCCUCUUUUAUCCAUUUUGACGACAAGCUUUUCUGGACGGAGGGAGUACUAA
rfam:Triticum aestivum genome assembly, contig: Triticum_aestivum_CS42_TGACv1_scaffold_250131_3DL